rnacentral:miRNA from 1 species
CUUCCAGUUGGCGAGGUACAUGUACCUCGUCGGCCGGAAGGAUUCCUUCCAGCCGGCGAGGUACACGUACCUCGCUGACUGGAAG